AGGGGGAACGAUGAGAUUUGAACCCUAGACCUCACUGUUCGCAGAUAUGAAGUUCACACCGCUCGGUGUUUUACAAUAACCAAUCUUUUAUGUAACUAGAAACAUAAGGAGAUUAGUAUGCUAUACUGCAGGGUACUAGUGUAUGUGUUAUAUAUAUUGAGUAUGAGAAUAGUAUCACGAAAAUUGUGUUAAAUUAAAUAUAAAAUAAAUGCUACAAACAUUAC
rnacentral:lncRNA from 1 species